rnacentral:lncRNA from 1 species
ACCAUUUUGCUCAUUCACAGGCCCUUUUUCACACAGCUUCCUGAUUCCAGAAGGCGAAAAUGAAUGUCAGCAAUGCUUCAGACAGUACCAAGAUUUCUCCAUGCUAUCCCCUGAUCUCUGCAGCCCUCUCUAAAUCUGGAUUUGGGAAAAAGUCCAAAAGGCUUCCAGCUUCCUGUCUUAAUUGUCACCAAUCUCCUACUUAGGGGAACAUUUCAACCGAGCUCCCCUACGGAUGUCUAGUUGUACCAUUUCUAGCCCACACCUUGGGCUACUGCUGUAAUAGAGAACAGGUUGCUGUUUGAAGCCUGACACUGUCUCAGAUGGACGCAUAAUAAAUAACACUCUUCUGGAGUGAUUGAAAACACAUGCGUUAAAUGAAACGGCAAAGAGCCGGGCAUGAUAGAGACGAGCUGGAGAGGAUGUGGAGGGGGCUAGCAAGAGGGAGCGAAGAGAGAGAGGGAGGCGCAGAGAACACUGCCUGUGGAAUCAGAAGUCCUGAGAAGCAGACCUGCCAUUUACAAGGGGCUUUAAGAACCCUUCCUUUUUGGUCCCCACAGCAACCUUGUAAGAUUUAUCUAAGAAGAUCAAGGACAAGAGCACUGGAACUUGGAAAACUCCAGGCAAAUGCCAGCCAGCAGGCUGGUGUCUGGCUCCCUCAGUGUUUCUAUAGCAAUGCAUCUGGGGCAAGACCAAGGCCAUGUAACACCCACAGUAAAAGCGUUGCUCUAGGAAAUCUAUAAGAUCCCUUCCUACUCUAAUUCCACAGUCCUGUAGGUCAGAGAUCUGGGUUUGAACUUCAGACCUGAUACUUGCUACAUGUGAAGCCUUGGGCAAGUUACUUUUCCUUCUGGGUCCCAGUGUCUUUAGUUACAAAGUGAAGGAGCUGGACCAGAGGCCAACUUCUUUCCAGGUCUAAACUCUACAAUCUAAUGGCCCUGACCUUUGAGUGUUAAAGCUGGCAACAGAAACAGGAACGCUAAGGGAAUGCCGGCCAGUUAGCCAGCUGGAAGCACCAUUGAGAGCUAUACGAAGAUAAUAUUUCUUCCAAGUGCUAUCCUUGAGGAGGAGGUAAUAAGUAGGUGGCCCUAAGUACAUCCAGG